rnacentral:pre_miRNA from 1 species
ACUUGACUGCAGGCACUGCUGCUCUGUUCCAGAUUGGCAGUUCCUUGGUCUUGUCC